rnacentral:rRNA from 1 species
GACGAACGCUGGCGGCGUGCUUAACACAUGCAAGUCGAACGGUCAAGCGCCUUCCUUUUUGGUGGGUGUGGGUGAGUGGCGAACGGGUGAGUAACACGUGAGUAACCUGCCCCCUUCUUCUGGAUAACCGCAUGAAAGUGUCGCUAAUACGGGAUAUUCAGAUUCUGUCGCAUGAUGGGUCUGGGAAAGAUAGUGUUUCGGUGGGGGAUGGGCUCGCGGCCUAUCAGGUUGUUGGUGGGGUGAUGGCCUACCAAGGCGGUGACGGGUAGCCGGCCUGAGAGGGUGGACGGUCACACUGGGAAUGCGCGACGGAACCGCCUACUACGGGCAGCAGUAGUGGAGCAUAUUGCACGAUGGGAGCAAGGCUGAUGCAGCGACGCGGCGUGGGAGAUGGUCGCCGGCGGGUUGUGAACCUCUUUCGCCAGUGAAGCGGGCAUGCCUUGUUUGUGAGUGGGUUGACGGUAGCUAGAUAAGAAGCGACGGCUAACUACGUG